GAUGAACGCUGGCGGCGUGCUUAACACAUGCAAGUCGAACGGAAAGGCCAGUGCUUGCCCUGGUACUCGAGUGGCGAACGGGUGAGUAACACGUGGGUGAUCUGCCCUGCACUUCGGGAUAAGCCUGGGAAACUGGGUCUAAUACCGGAUAGGACAAUGGUUUGGAUGCCGUUGUGGAAAGUUUUUUCGGUGUGGGAUGAGCUCGCGGCCUAUCAGCUUGUUGGUGGGGUAAUGGCCUACCAAGGCGUCGACGGGUAGCCGGCCUGAGAGGGUGUACGGCCACAUUGGGACUGAGAUACGGCCCAGACUCCUACGGGAGGCAGCAGUGGGGAAUAUUGCACAAUGGGCGCAAGCCUGAUGCAGCGACGCCGCGUGGGGGAUGACGGCCUUCGGGUUGUAAACUCCCUUCGCUAGGGACGAAGCGUAUUUGUGACGGUACCUGGAGAAGAAGCACCGGCUAACUACGUG
rnacentral:rRNA from 1 species